rnacentral:lncRNA from 1 species
GUGCGAUUCUCAAUUUCAAAGUAUAUUUUUCUUGUUUUAUUGGGUAGGAAGAUUCAUGACUGAGCUAAGUACCACCUGAAAAUAUUGCAGAUCAAAGAGGAUUUGUGUUAUUGUGAAAGAUAUGUUGUGUCAGAUAUAGUAGGUUUGGAAUAAUUGAGCCAUGCUAGUCAUACAUGUAUCAUAAUUGCUCAGAGGUUUAAAAAGCUCAGAAUCAGAAAAAAACUGCCUAAGACACUUCUUUAAAAGGAAACAUUAUGCUAAUUAAAUGGUUAAUGAAUCAUACAAUUGACUAAGUUAUUUCUCCUGGUUUGGGGGAGAAGAAUACAUAAGCUUUUCUUUCUCACGUAGAAAACUUCCACAGUGAGCCAUCGUUUGGCGCCACAGGAUAAUUUGUAAACUUGCCGUACCAUGAGCCACAAAAGGUAUAUGUCUCGCUGGGAUAUGGGUAGGGCCAUGUAUACAUGUUCAUAGUCUGCAUUAAAAGGAUAUAGACUAAUCAUGGUAUUCUCAGAGUGUGGCACUUCUGCAGCUUUCUCUUAAGUAGUGCAGAUGAUCUUAAGAUGUCAAGAAUACUUACUAUUUAUGUGCUAUGAAUUAUGUUUUACUUUUAUGCUCAAUAUAAAAAUAUGAACAAUAACCUUAGAACAUUGUCUAGAAUGCAGAACUUUUUUAUAGGUGGGUGCCCUUACUACUUGAUGGUGUUAUCCUUUCUACAGUACUUUUGGAUUAGUGAAUCCUUGUAACAGCUUCAACAGGAGUGUUGGACUGUCCUCAUCCAGAAAAAUGCUCUUCUGAUGAUAGGGCAGAUUGCAGAGGGAGGCUUCAAUGUACUGGGCAAAACCAAUCUCAGGAGCGUCACUUGCUGGUCAUAUGCUGCAAUUGUUAGGCUAUAUUAUAUAAAAGAACUGAUGGAAAUAACUAAAAGGGAGAAAAUUCUGGAAGAACUAGGAGAGAUAAAGAAGAAUUUACAUGAUUUGUGUAACUUAAAGUUGCUUAAGAAAAGAGUAACUUCUUCCCCUGUUUUAUGACCUUGGGGAUCAUUUUUAUUUGGAAAAGAAAACCAACCAAAGAGCACAGAAAUGGUUUUGUACUUAAAAUUAUGUGCCCUUAAUUAUACUUCAAAAAAUGGUACCGUUAGUGAUGAUCUAAUCUAAUGUAAUUCCAUUGGUUUGGUAAAUUCACUUCUAAAUAUAAGCUCUGAUGUUCUACAAACAUCACAGUGGUGCUUCCCUUCCACAAAGACUUCAAUUCUAUAAUCCAGAAUUAACGUGACAGUAUAUUUAAAGUAAUAUAAAUGUAGUUACACAGUUACUGAUAUGAGAAAUUAAAAAUGCAGUCUCCACAGAUAUUUGUAUUUGCAGCAAUUCCCCCAAAUAUGCAGCAGUUUGCAUGAUACUGGAGAAUUUUAGUUUAUCUAAAAUUAAGCUAAUUGAAACUGUGGUUUAUGAUUUGCAAUCUUUACGUGUUUUAUAAUACAUGAGAGUUAAACAAGUGAACUUGUUCUCCUUUGCAUUGUAAAGACUCAACU